CUCGUCAGGCUCAUAACCUGAAGGUCGUAGGUUCAAAUCCUACCCCCGCAA
rfam:Phaeobacter sp. CECT 7735 genome assembly, contig: 0007